CCUACGGGUGGCAGCAGUGAGGAAUAUUGGUCAAUGGGCGCGAGCCUGAACCAGCCAAGUCGCGUGAGGGAAGACGGUCCUAUGGAUUGUAAACCUCUUUUGUCGGGGAGCAAAAGACGCCACGCGUGGCGUUCCGAGAGUACCCGAAGAAAAAGCAUCGGCUAACGCCGUGCCAGCAGCCGCGGUAAUACGGAGGAUGCGAGCGUUAUCCGGAGUGACUGUGUGUAAAGAGUUGCGUAGGUGGCAUAAUAAGUAGCUAGUGAAAUCUGGUGGCUCAACCAUUCAGACUAUUAGCUAAACUGUUAAGCUCGAGACAGUUAGGGGUAACUGGAAUUUCUAGUGUAGGAGUGAAAGCCGUAGAUAUUAGAAGGAGAAACAAUAGCGUAGGCAGGUUACUGGGACGGUUCUGACACUAAGGCACGAGAGCGUAGGGAGCAAACGGGAUUAGAUACCCGUGUAGUC
rnacentral:rRNA from 1 species